AGUCGUAACAAGGUUUCCGUAGGUGAACCUGCGGAAGGAUCAUUACCGAGUGUAGGGUUCCUAGCGAGCCCAACCUCCCACCCGUGUUUACUGUAACCUUAGUUGCUUCGGCGGGCCCGCCGUUUACGGCCGCCGGGGGGCAUCAGCCCCCGGGCCCGCGCCCGCCGGAGACACCACGAACUCUGUCUGAUCUAGUGAAGUCUGAGUUGAUUGUAUCGCAAUCAGUUAAAACUUUCAACAAUGGAUCUCUUGGUUCCGGCAUCGAUGAAGAACGCAGCGAAAUGCGAUAACUAGUGUGAAUUGCAGAAUUCCGUGAAUCAUCGAGUCUUUGAACGCACAUUGCGCCCCCUGGUAUUCCGGGGGGCAUGCCUGUCCGAGCGUCAUUGCUGCCCAUCAAGCACGGCUUGUGUGUUGGGUCGUCGUCCCCUCUUCGGGGGGGACGGGCCCCAAAGGCAGCGGCGGCACCGCGUCCGAUCCUCGAGCGUAUGGGGCUUUGUCACCCGCUCUGUAGGCCCGGCCGGCGCUUGCCGAACGCAAAACAACCAUUUUUUCCAGGUUGACCUCGGAUCAGGUAGGGAUACCCGCUGAACUUAAGCAUA
rnacentral:misc_RNA from 1 species